UUGGUGAAGCCUGUGUAGGCCGUGACGGCAAAAAGUGGAGGGACUGGAUUUUAUCUUUACACAGAAAGAACUUGGACAUCAACUUCUUCUUCUUCUUCUUCCCGGGUCGCCGCCGGACGUAAAGGACGACACUCUCUUCAUAACUCGGCCCGCCGCUGUGAAAUCUGCGGGGUUUAAUUUCAUUAGAUGCUUUUUUCUGCUGCCGAAUGUUUCCCAGAUCAUUUUUAUUGAGCCUUUGGGAAGGCUUUGUUUGACAGAGUGGAUAGCCGACUGUUUGUCGUUGGCUUCAGUUUUAGCACUCUGGUACAAGUCUUUAACAUGGAAGUGUUCAGGAUGGCCAUAUUCCAACUCGGCCCACCCCAACUAAAAGGUUUGCCCUUCAUACAGUUCAACAAGUUAUACAACCUCAGAAACAGCAAAGAAGGAUCUGGGCUGUGAUUUUGGCACAAAUGGAGAUAUUUACAUUGUGAAGUUUAAGCAGUCAAAGUACUUUCAGGGGGCGUUUGUUGCACCGGACUGUCUCGGACUGGACUAGCUGCCGGGACUAAGUUGGACUGGCUUAGACUAGACUAAGCUGGACUAGUGUUGGACUAUAAAAUCGGAUAAUAAACAAACUAUAAUAUUAUAUUAUUUAAUGCAUAUAUUAUAAUAUUUAAUGUAUAUAUUGUAAUAUUUUAUAUUAUUUGAUGCAUACAUAAUAAUAUUUUAUUAUUUAAUCAACCUUUUAACCUUUUUUUCUCUUGGAAAACUAUCACUUUGGAAUCAUCUCUUCUUUUCUCCUUCUGGCUCCGUCCAUUUCUUCUUUUCUCCCU
rnacentral:sRNA from 1 species